rnacentral:rRNA from 1 species
CCUACGGGCUGCAGCAGUGGGGAAUAUUGCACAAUGGGCGCAAGCCUGAUGCAGCCAUGCCGCGUGUGUGAAGAAGGCCUUCGGGUUGUAAAGCACUUUCAGCGGGGAGGAAGGCGGUGAGGUUAAUAACCUCAUCGAUUGACGUUACCCGCAGAAGAAGCACCGGCUAACUCCGUGCCAGCAGCCGCGGUAGUACGGAGGGUGCAAGCGUUAAUCGGAAUUACUGGGCGUAAAGCGCACGCAGGCGGUCUGUCAAGUCGGAUGUGAAAUCCCCGGGCUCAACCUGGGAACUGCAUUCGAAACUGGCAGGCUUGAGUCUCGUAGAGGGGGGUAGAAUUCCAGGUGUAGCGGUGAAAUGCGUAGAGAUCUGGAGGAAUACCGGUGGCGAAGGCGGCCCCCUGGACGAAGACUGACGCUCAGGUGCGAAAGCGUGGGAGCAAACAGGAUUAGAUACCCCAGUAGUC